UACGUAGGGUGCGAGCGUUAAUCGGAAUUACUGGGCGUAAAGCGUGCGCAGGCGGUUUUGUAAGUCUGUCGUGAAAGCCCCGGGCUCAACCUGGGAAUGGCGAUGGAGACUGCAAGGCUUGAAUCUGGCAGAGGGGGGUAGAAUUCCACGUGUAGCAGUGAAAUGCGUAGAGAUGAUGGAGGAACACCGAUGGCGAAGGCAGCCCCCUGGGUCAAGCAUUGACGCCUCAUGCACGAAAGCGUGGGGAGCAAACAGG
rnacentral:rRNA from 1 species